UACGGGGGGGGCAAGCGUUGUUCGGAAUUACUGGGCGUAAAGGGCUCGUAGGUGGCCAACUAAGUCAGACGUGAAAUCCCUCGGCUUAACCGGGGAACUGCGUCUGAUACUGGAUGGCUUGAGUUUGGGAGAGGGAUGCGGAAUUCCAGGUGUAGCGGUGAAAUGCGUAGAUAUCUGGAGGAACACCGGUGGCGAAGGCGGCGUUCUGGACUGCAACUGACACUGAGAAACGAAAGCCAGGGUAGCAAACGGG
rnacentral:rRNA from 1 species